UACGUAGGGGGCAAGCGUUGUCCGGAUUUAUUGGGCGUAAAGAGCGUGUAGGCGGCUUUACAGGUCCGUUGUGAAAACUCGAGGCUCAACCUCGAGACGCCGGUGGAAACCGUAAAGCUAGAGUCCGGAAGAGGAGAGUGGAAUUCCUGGUGUAGCGGUGGAAUGCGCAGAUAUCAGGAGGAACACCGGUGGCGAAGGCGGGUCUCUGGGCAGUAACUGACGCUGAGGCGCGAAGGCCAGGGGAGCAAACGGG
rnacentral:rRNA from 1 species